rnacentral:rRNA from 1 species
AUUCGAAGCAACGCGAAGAACCUUACCAGGGCUUGACAUCCUACUAACGAAGCAGAGAUGCAUUAGGUGCCCUUCGGGGAAAGUAGAGACAGGUGGUGCAUGGUUGUCGUCAGCUCGUGUCGUGAGAUGUUGGGUUAAGUCCCGCAACGAGCGCAACCCUUAUUGUUAGUUGCUACGCAAGAGCACUCUAGCGAGACUGCCGUUGACAAAACGGAGGAAGGUGGGGACGACGUCAAAUCAUCAUGCCCCUUAUGUCCUGGGCCACACACGUACUACAAUGGUGGUCAACAGAGGGAAGCAAUACCGCGAGGUGGAGCAAAUCCCUAAAAGCCAUCCCAGUUCGGAUUGCAGGCUGCAACCCGCCUGCAUGAAGUUGGAAUCGCUAGUAAUCGCGGAUCAGCAUGCCGCGGUGAAUACGUUCCCGGGCCUUGUACACAC